rnacentral:lncRNA from 1 species
UUUACUAAUCUUUAUAUAUAUAGUUACGAUUUUAAUAAUGAAAUAAGAAUCCGAAAAUAUAUAUAUAGAAGAAGAUGCAAAUACAUGUGAAAUUUUAAAACAAUAUAUUCAAUGAAAAAAAUAUACCGUAAACUUAUUAUAUCUUAAAAAUUAAUAGACACAUAUAUUAUAAUAUAUAUCAAUUUAGAAUUGAAAACUAAAUAUUAUAUGAAAAUAAAUGAAGACAACCGCGCGGAUCGAGAUCUAGUUGGAUUAUUAAAAGAAGAGAAAAUUAUAUUGAAAGACACUUUUUGUCUUUUCAAUUACACUGAAAGACACAUGCCACUUUAGAGACACAUUUUUGUUGUUGUUUAUCUUUCUUACCCUUUACCUACAUCUUCCUUUUUAUUUUUUUUUCUCACCGUAAACAUCGAUGUCUAGUUUCUUCUUUUUUUUUUUGGUAAAAUUGUCUAGUUUCUUCUUCCUCCUUUUAAUGUCUUCUCUCUCUUAAGAUUUGUGGUUUCAAUUUAAUUUUCAAGACAGUAACAUUUCUAUCUCUUAUCUCAGUUUAUUUUGAAAUUUGAUUUAUUUUCAGAUUCGUGCUUAGUUUAUGUUAUUUUUAUCUUUUAACUAUUCAAAGUUUGAAUAUUUUGUGGAUCAAUCCAAUUUUCAGUGAUAAUUUAUAUUGGUUUUAGAUAUAUAAACGACAUCGCUAUUGGUUUUCUGUUUAAUUUGUAAACGAACCAAGUCACAAUAAAUAUCACUUGGAAUCUUUAAACGGUCUCUUCUACAUUUCAACUUCACGUUUCUAAAGUAUUCAUUUUGUGAUGGUUCACCUCUCGACAGAGAAGAUGGGAAUUUGAAAAGGGAGCCCCUAAGCAUUAGUGGACACAGAAGAAGAAGUUUUUAUGGCUGGAGUACUCAAACAUGGAACUGGAAAAUGGCUUUACAUAUUUGCAUACUCUUAGUACUAUCUCUCUCUAGACCCCGACCCCAACUCUCAUGUCCACGCCACCCAUAACAACAGCCUCAACAUCCACACUUCCUAAACCCCUAGCAGCCACAUUCACACCUUGCUUUUUGCUGAUAACCACAUCGACAUGUCCCAUGUCCACAACAAUACCAUCCACCCCUCGCAAGUCCCAGACAACCACAUCCAAC